rnacentral:rRNA from 1 species
GACAGAGGGUGCAAACGUUGUUCGGAAUUACUGGGCGUAAAGCGCGUGUAGGCGGCUCGGAAAGUCGGAUGUGAAAGCCCGGAGCUCAACUCCGGAAGUGCACUCGAAACUCCCGAGCUGGAGUCCUGGAGAGGAAGGCGGAAUUCUCGGUGUAGAGGUGAAAUUCGUAGAAUAUCGAGAGGAACACCGGUGGCGAAGGCGGCCUUC